rnacentral:misc_RNA from 1 species
GCAAACUUGGUCAUUUAGAGGAAGUAAAAGUCGUAACAAGGUUUCCGUAGGUGAACCUGCGGAAGGAUCAUUAUAGAAAAACAACCUGGUUGGGGGGCUGUCGCUGGCCUUUCGAGGCAUGUGCACGCCUUCAACCAACACAUCCAUCCCACCCUUGUGCACCUUUGCGUGGGCUCUGAGGUCUCAUGACCUCUGGGCUUGCGUUUUUCUAUACACACACUAGAUGAAUGUUUUGAGAAUGUCUUGUACAGUAAAAUGUACCUUGUACAACUUUCAACAACGGAUCUCUUGGCUCUCGCAUCGAUGAAGAACGCAGC